GCUAUCUCAGUAUAGCAGAUGUAGAACAAGUGUGUUUUUAGUCGAUUACUUGUGCCCCAAGUUACUCAGACGUCUUGUUAUCAAAGGAUUGUCGUGGAUAGGUUAAAUCCACAUUAAGUUCUUUUCUUGCCUUAUGACCAGGGACUUUUAGUUCAUAGUCUUGAAUGUUCAAAUGAAGGGAAUCCCAAUCCUCUUUAAGUCAUUUGUUUGAUUCUUAAUUGAUUUUAAUGAAAGCAUAUCCAUUAAAGUGACCAGAUCUAGAUACAAAUAAAACUCUUAAGAGUAGGAAAACAGGUGGACAUGAUUUGAAUACAUACUGGAGAAUGCAUUAUGUAAUAGAUUUACAAAUUCAGAAAGCAAACAAAGAGUUUUGAGCAAGAUUUCACCUUGUAUGUCAAGGUUGAACUUCUUGCAGUCACUUCUCUUUGGGUUUACAAGGUUUGUAUGUUGAAAAGGAUGGAUGGUAAACAAGUUUACACAAG
rnacentral:lncRNA from 1 species